GAUGAACGCUAGCGGCAGGCCUAAUACAUGCAAGUCGAACGGUUGUAGCAAUACAAUAGUGGCGCACGGGUGCGUAACGCGUAGCCAACCUACCCGAAUCUGGGGGAUAGCCCGCCGAAAGGCGGAUUAAUACCGCAUAAAACCACAGAGUGGCAUCACUUCAUGGUUAAAGAUUUAUUGGAUUCGGAUGGGGCUGCGUGCCAUUAGCUAGUUGGAGAGGUAACGGCUCACCAAGGCGACGAUGGCUAGGGGGAGCUGAGAGGCUGGUCCCCCCACACGGGCACUGAGAUACGGGCCCGACUCCUACGGGAGGCAGCAGUAGGGAAUAUUGGGCAAUGGACGAGAGUCUGACCCAGCCAUGCCGCGUGCAGGAU
rnacentral:rRNA from 1 species